AAAAAAAAAAAACAGAAGAGUAGAAAUCAACCAAAAUUCAUCUGGCAACAAAUUUGUUACAUGUGACACCAUGUUGAAAGAGAUGAAAGUAAAGGCAAAAGGCAAUGGAUGAAUCAGGUGUCAAAUAAGAUCAAUUAGUUAGCAUACAAUCUAUAAUCUCAUUUUGUUGUCCUUUCUAAUGUAAGUUCAUACUUUGCUUCCUUGUGGUUGGGCCUCUUUCUUACUUCACUCUCCUGAGAUUUUUGACACGACUCUUUAUGCCCCUUAUGGUUCCUAGACACUCCCCCCAACCAUCUUCUCUUCUCCUCUCUAUCUUUUUUUUUUUAUUUAAUUGAUAAAACCAAAUAAAUCUAUUAACUUAAAAGCUUGGGAACAACAUCUCUUUUGUAAUUUCAUAAUCAACAACAACUAAGCCUUAAUCCCGAACUAGUUGAGCUAUGCAAUAUGGAACCUUUUUCACCAAAAAGACAAAAAAAAUGAAGAGAUUCAUUUGCUUUUUGAUUAACACUCCAUUUGAUUUUGAAAUCUGCAUCUCAUGUCAAAGAUUAACUUUACUUGCAUACAAUUUUUAAAAACAAAAAUUAUUCAGUUAAAGCCUUGUUAAACCAAACUUACAUCUUUUUGAAAAUCACAAGGAAUAACAGUAUCCUGCUAACACUAUUUCUUAUUGCCUACAGAAAGUGCCCUACAUGCAUUUGUAGCUCAGCUUUUCAGAGUUGUAACUGCAUGCAUUUUAUAAUGGAAGAGGAAAAGUCACUGAAAAGAAAUGAAAAUAUGCCUUUAAAGGAAAAUUCAAAUCUUAAAAACAGUUCCAAUGCAUACAAGUUGAACAAGAGGAUAUGGAAAUAAACCAAGAAAUACUCCAUUUUGAUCUGAUCAUCAAUUCUAUGUUAGUCAAACCUAGAAUAAAAUUCCAUUACAGCAUAACACACACCAAAGGGCAUAUUAUAGUCACAAAAAGGAAUUAUAGAUCCUAGAAUUAAAAUAACAAAAUAAGUGGCAGAAUCCCAUCUCCCUACAUUUUGGCAGCAUAUCAUAUCAAUUGAUAGAUACAGCAAACUGAUAAAUUGAUUGCAUUAGAAAAAGUCGUAUUGACAUGCAAAUAAUUGCAUCUAUUGCAGUAUCAUAAGUAGACAUCAGUUUUGUUCAUGCGGAGGUUUAGCGUAUCCCAAGCUACAUUAUCUCACGUUUUCAUGAACAAUGUUCAACGCUACUUACAAUGGAUGGCAAGGUUGGGGUUUCACAAAAAUUUAGACAAAGGGAAAACCACAAUCACUGUGCUCCAUUUGGAUUCAUGGAGAAAGUAAGAUACAUAAAUAUGAAUUUGUUCUUAUAUGAAAAUGAGCCAUUAACUCUUAAAUUAAAAUGAUUUUUUUGUAUAAUUGCAGCAAUCAAUAAGCAUUUUAUGACAAAAAGGAGUAGUGAUACAUGGCAUGAUCUUCCUUAAAUGCUAUAUAUAUGUAAAGUAAAACCCUGUAUGACCAAAAGAAAAAUUAUGCUUGAAACUAUAACAAUUU
rnacentral:misc_RNA from 1 species